ACACGACUACAUUAGAUACCCCUGUAGUCCUAGCCGUAAACGAUACUCGCUAGGUGUCAGGGACGGUGCGACCGUUUCUGGUGCCGCAGGGAAGCCGUGAAGCGAGCCACCUGGGAAGUACGGUCGCAAGGCUGAAACUUAAAGGAAUUGGCGGGGGAGCACAACAACGGGUGGAGCUUGCGGUUUAAUUGGAUUCAACGCCGGAAAUCUUACCGGGACCGACAGCAACAUGAAGGCCAAGCUGAAGACUUUGCCGGAUUAGCUG
rnacentral:rRNA from 1 species